AGAGUUUGAUCAUGGCUCAGAACGAACGCUGGCGGCAUGCCUAACACAUGCAAGUCGAACGAGACCUUCGGGUCUAGUGGCGCACGGGUGCGUAACGCGUGGGAAUCUGCCCUUGGGUUCGGAAUAACAGUUAGAAAUGACUGCUAAUACCGGAUAAUGUCUUCGGACCAAAGAUUUAUCGCCCAGGGAUGAGCCCGCGUAGGAUUAGCUAGUUGGUGAGGUAAAGGCUCACCAAGGCGACGAUCCUUAGCUGGUCUGAGAGGAUGAUCAGCCACACUGGGACUGAGACACGGCCCAGACUCCUACGGGAGGCAGCAGUGGGGAAUAUUGGACAAUGGGCGAAAGCCUGAUCCAGCAAUGCCGCGUGAGUGAUGAAGGCCUUAGGGUUGUAAAGCUCUUUUACCCGGGAUGAUAAUGACAGUACCCGCAGAAUAAGCCCCGGCUAACUUCGUG
rnacentral:rRNA from 1 species